GAUGAACGCUAGCGGCAGGCCUAAUACAUGCAAGUCGGACGGGAUUGAGAAGCUUGCUUUUCAUGAGAGUGGCGCACGGGUGCGUAACACGUAUGUAACCUACCUUAAUCAGGGGGAUAGCCUCUCGAAAGAGAGAUUAACACCGCAUAAAAUCAAUUUAUGGCAUCAUAGAAUGAUCAAAUAUUUAUAGGAUUAAGAUGGGCAUGCGGAACAUUAGCUAGUUGGUAAGGUAACGGCUUACCAAGGCUACGAUGUUUAGGGGAUCUGAGAGGAUGACCCCCCACACUGGUACUGAGACACGGACCAGACUACUACGGGAGGCAGCAGUAAGGAAUAUUGGUCAAUGGGCGCAAGCCUGAACCAGCCAUGCCGCGUGCAGGAAGACGGCCCUACGGGUUGUAAACUGCCUUUGUACCGGAAUAAACCUUUGUAUGUAUACGAAGCUGAAUGUACGGUAAGAAUAAGGAUCGGCUAACUCCGUGCCAGCCGCCGCGGUAA
rnacentral:rRNA from 1 species